GACUGACUUCAACAACUAUGAAGCCAUUCUUUCGUUUGUGAACAUUGGCGGUGUACACUGGAAUCUUCUGUAUGUUUGUCCUGCAUUGAGUGCGGUAUUUUUGUUGGAUCCUAUGGCAAAUAAAUUGGAGAAGGCAGGGUCUACAAAUGCUGCAAAAAGAAUUGGGAGUUACUUACGGAUGAGAAACAUUGUCCAUGGUAAAAAUGACUGGAGCAGAGUGAAGUGGAGAGGAUUGGUAAUGGACCAUCCAGUGCAACAAGACCAGAGUAGUUGUGGGGUCAUCGUCACCAUGUGUUUGACUUGGAUAACAAAUGUGCAAUGUGCUCUGAUACAAAGCCUCCUGGAAAAGGUCCUCCAACUACCUGUUGG